GGAGAAACACACACAGAAGGACAACUCCCACCCACGGAGGGACAAGACACUCGGAAAGCAGGUGGAGAACCGAGUGAAUGGUAAACGGCAAGUGCCCUGCCACUGAGUUCUUCCUCCAACCCCACCGCACGAACCAGAGUUCCAGAUAAAACCAAAGCAAUCUCCCCAAGGUGUCCAGCUCUUCCCUGCCCCCUGCGCCUUGGAAGAUGCCAUGCCGCCCACUGGCAACACCUGGGCCGCUCUCCUGGUUCCUGCCUUUCCAGGGUGGUGCCCAGCUCAUACCACAUGCCUGCUUCCUUCUCUGGGCUUCUGUGAUGACUCAGUAACCACCCGAAUACAGAGGCUGGAUGGAGAUUAAUCCCUGCCGUGUGUGAACUUGAUAUAAGCCGAGUCACAAGUAUGUCUCUGAUGGAAUGCGGUUUCUUUAAUUCAACACGGUUUUGAGUGUCUUCCUAAUUA